GGGAAGUUGGCUCAGUGGUAGAGUGCUUGCCUUGCAUGCAUGAGGCCCUGGGUUCAAUUUCUCA
rfam:Dipodomys ordii contig_61732, whole genome shotgun sequence.